rnacentral:misc_RNA from 1 species
CUUCGUUCCCACCCAAAAACCCUCAAGGCCAUCGUGAUGGUGAUGAUGUAGCCAAAACAUUUUCUCUCUCAUAACCUUCUUUUCUCUAUGUCUCUUUAUUAAGUGUCAAUACAUCUCUUUCUUCUUUUUUCUCUUUCUGAAAAACCUUCUUUCCGUUCUCUCUAUCUAGAAAUGGAGUCUCUUGACCCUGCAGCCUGCUUCAUGGACGACCUACUGGACUUUGCUUCUGACAUAGGAGAGAAAGACGAUGAUGAAGACCCCAGCAAACCCAGAAACGCCUUUCCCUCACUUAACCCCUCACCAAAUGGCCUUGCCGUUGUUCCGCCUCCUUUCGAUGUUUUCGACCACCCAGA